rnacentral:rRNA from 1 species
UACGUAGGGGGCAAGCGUUGUCCGGAAUCAUUGGGCGUAAAGAGCUCGUAGGCGGCCUGUUGCGUCCGCUGUGAAAUCCCGAGGCUCAACCUCGGGUCUGCAGUCGAUACGGGCAAACUAGAGUAUUGCAGGGGAGACUGGAAUUCCUGGUGUAGCGGUGAAAUGCGCAGAUAUCAGGAGGAACACCGGUGGCGAAGGCGGGUCUCUGGGCAAUAACUGACGCUGAGGAGCGAAAGCGUGGGGAGCGAACAGG